rnacentral:rRNA from 1 species
GACGAACGCUGGCGGCGUGCCUAAUACAUGCAGGUAGAACGCUGAAGGAGGAGCUUGCUUCUCUGGAUGAGUUGCGAACGGGUGAGUAACGCGUAGGUAACCUGCCUGGUAGCGGGGGAUAACUAUUGGAAACGAUAGCUAAUACCGCAUAAUAGUAGAUGUUGCAUGACAUUUGCUUAAAAGGUGCAAUUGCAUCACUACCAGAUGGACCUGCGUUGUAUUAGCUAGUUGGUGGGGUAACGGCUCACCAAGGCGACGAUACAUAGCCGACCUGAGAGGGUGAUCGGCCACACUGGGACUGAGACACGGCCCAGACUCCUACGGGAGGCAGCAGUAGGGAAUCUUCGGCAAUAGACGGAAGUCUGACCGAGCAACGCCGCGUGAGUGAAGAAGGUUUUCGGAUCGUAAAGCUCUGUUGUAAGAGAAGAACGAGUGUGAGAGUGGAAAGUUCACACUGUGACGGUAUCUUACCAGAAAGGGACGGCUAACUACGUG